CUUUUCUGUGGGAAACGAAAGAAAGCAGAAACCACUCAUUAGUGCUCUAAAAGAUGCUGAAAAUGAGAAAAAUCUGUUUAAUCUCCCAGGGAUCCGCAGGCAAAAAUAAAAAUCACUAAAUUGCAGCGUACAGCCAUUUUCAACUAGUUUUUUUAAAAAGCAUAUCUCCCUGCUCUCAUGGUGGCUUCACAAUAGCCCCAUAACCAUGUGCAGUUUUAUCCUGAAAUGCUAAGCACAAUCAACUAUGACAAAACCUAAGAAUGCAUUGAAUACUGGUAAUAAUCCUUGGAACUGUUUACAUAAAUCAAGCUAUGGAGAUAAACUGGAUGAAGGUCUUGCGCCAAGCGGCUGCCUCUUUUCACCAUCCAUUAACAUACAUAUAAUCCUGCCUAAAUGCCUGCAGGGCUGACUUGUCUCCACCCUCUCAGCCCCCAGACUCAGAUUGCCAACAUGGAGGGGCAACUAGCACAGAUGGUCCAAAAAAAUGUGAUGGUUACCUGAAAAAAAUGAAGUACACUGAGGGGAAAUGAAGGCGGAGCAGUUAAUGUCCAUAACCACCAGCCAUUGUUCACAUGCACCAAGACUCAUUAAGAAUAUGCACAUAAUACUUCCAUGAAGAGGAAAUUGUGCACAUUUUCCAGUCAAUAUACAUAAUCACCAACAGGCCUUGGGAAAUGUGUAUAUAUUCAGGUAAUACACACAGUCUCCAGUAAGUGCAUAAAAAGUUAAAGGUAAAGGGACCCCUGACCAUUAGGUCCAGUCGUGGCCGACUCUGGGGUUGCGGCACUCAUCUUGCUUUAUUGGCCAAGAUCAUGUGGCCAGCAUGACUAAGCCGCUUCUGGCGAACCAGAGCAGCGCACGGAAACGCCGUUUACCUUCCCGCCGGAGCGGUACCUAUUUAUCUACUUGCACUUUGACAUGCUUUCAAACUGCUAGGUUGGCAGCAGCAGGGACCGAGCAACGGGAGCUCACCCCGUUGCGGGGAUUAGAACCGCCUACCUUCUGAUCAGCAAGUCCUAGGCUCUGUGGUUUAACCCACAGCACCACCUGCGUAGUCUCUAGAAAAAUGCCAUUUCCCGAUUCCUUUUUGAGAAGCAUGCAAUUUGUGCCCUCCCAGCUGAUUCUGGCCCAUUGCCUAAUCUUACAUGGCUCACUGAUUAGCCAAGCAAGAUGGGAAGAUGGAGCAGACUCCAAAUACAGAUAAGUGAGGCAGCAGGUCAGAACCAACAACCAUGCAUCCCAAGAGGCCUAUCAUGGUGCCAUGAUGGCUCUUGAUAAUCACUCACCACUUAAGGCUCUGUAGGUGAUAUUAAUUCAUACAAAGUGGAUGCUUGGUAGCUUUGCAAGAUAUGAGGAAGGAUCAAAACAGGGAGUGAGUGAGAGGACAUGCCCCUUUUCUGCAUUUCCAGGAUAUUGUGCAACAGGAGGAGUUGUGCCUCUUUCCUGUAAGUGAGGCAAGCGGUGUCCACUCCCACAUUGCAUGCUCACACAUAGCCUAAGGAAAGAGGAAAGCAACUCACUUCCACUUUCUAUUUUCUUUACUUCUUGCAUAGCUUCUGAGCAAAGUUUAAGGUUUUAUUACUGAUUUAUCAAUCCCUAAACAACCUGGGACCAGGUCACUUGAGAGAAUGCCUUCUUGCAUAUGGACCUGCCCAUUCAAUAAAACCUUUGCAUGAGGCUCCCCUGGUUGAGCCACAGUAUGUGGACCCUGAAGCGUCCACAAGAUGAGCUUUGGUGCUGCCUUCCUUGUGUCUUCCUGUCGAUAGGAAGUGAGCUCCAGCUAGUAGGUUUUCAGCCUAUACCCAAAACACCCUGAUCAUUGCCGCUGCCCACUGUGGAUGUUGUGACAGUACUGUUAUUUCAAUACUGUUAUUUCAGUGCUGUUUUAAAGUUUUAAUGUGAACCACCUUGAAAUUCUCUAAAUAGAAAGUGAUAUAGAAAUUUUUAAAAAACAAAAACAAACUGUGCUGGAAAUGUGAAGAGGUUGAAGGAUCUUUCAUACAUAUGGGCAGUGUAAAUAUUCCCAAAAAUAUUGAGAGAUGGUCUACAAUGAGCUCAAUUUUUUAAAAUUAAAAAAUACAUUUCCAAAGAAAACAGAAGCCUUUGUAUUAGCGAUAAUUGGUGAUGAGCUCCCCCAAAGACUAUGUCACAGCAGCGGCCAGCAUACUCUAUGCUAAAAGUUGGAAGGAAGAAGAAAUACCAACAAAAGAACAAUGGCUGUAUUAAUUGACAGAAUAUGUCAAACUUGUGAGCAUGACAGCCAAAAUAAGGAAUCAGGAUGGAAAACAAAUAAAUGGCAAAUGGGAAUCUUUUGGGGAGCACUUAAACAAAAUUGAUACUAAAAACUACAAGUAGGGGUAAUUCUCUGAACAACAGUUAAAUACAAAGGACUAGGAAAGAAAAAGUAGAGUGGAUUAAUAUAUGGAUAUUGUCAGGCAGCAGAGGAACCAACCCCAGGGCAGGUUGCCAGGAAUAGAUAAGACAAGGAAAAAUCUUUACCAUCUGCUUUUAUUCAAUAUUUCCAGAGAGAGGCUUGUGAAUGCAGCCUCUUGGAAUAAUGGCAUCCGGAGUAAAUCUCCACUCCCAUUCUCUCCCACGUCCUCAUUCGUCAUCCCUUCUGUGCCGUUUGCUCUCCUACUUUUAUGGCUCGCCAGGUUCUGGGAGAUGGAGGGUAUGGAAUGCUUUCUAGUGAUAACAGGUCAGCCAGCUGCUGCUCCGGCUCUGCUUCCUCCUCCUCUCCCAUUAUUUCCCAACUAUCCCCCUCAUCUUCCUCUGAGCUGUGACCUCCCUCAAACCCCUGCUGUAAUUUUGAACUGUCUUCUUCUCUGGAAGGGUCAGGCUGGAGAGGCGGUCUCACCAUUCCUGCUCUGCCUAGUCCCUGACAGAUAGACAGCGGUACUAGAUCUAUUACAAAUGCCAUGGAAGGCUAGGUUGGGAAGUCUAUAUGGAAAGAAUAUUUGACGGUAAUGUAUGGUAUGCAAAUAGAAAAAUGGGAAUGAUAUAAAAAAUAAUAAAAAUAAAAAGGAACAUGUAAACUGCUCUGGGCCAACUAGAUUUCACCCUGGGGUCCAACUUCAAUGGCUGCCACCAACCCUCCCUACUUAUUUACAUCCAGGACUCUCAACAUGAUACUACAUACAAGUUCAUAUUGCCACUGGUUUCUUCACACCUGCAUAUGAAUAAUCAAAUUUUAAUUUUCAGUGGUAAGUGGACAGUUGGACAGGAAGUCAUAGCCAUUGGUGCCGUAGCAGCUUCCUGUGCCUCUGGGGCCCAUCCUUCUGCAGGCCCACCUGAAAGCGAACUUCUUGGGCUUCAUGCUGAAAGCAUCCCACCCCAUCAGACGUGUCAGCCAUACUGUGAGAAGAGAGAAGUCAUGCAAGCAGUGCAGAGUCAAGCAAACAUGUUUCUGCUUGAAAAACAUUUAGUAGAAGUAAAUCAUUUGGCAUAGGUUUUCUUUUUCUUUUUUAAAAGAGACACCAUCUUUUUACCUAUAAAAUCCACAGACUUGUCCAACCACGGAAAGAUUUUCUCACAGAAGCUGUCAUUCACAGGCACUCUUAAGAAGUGGGAUUCCGGGAUAAAGUCAGGCUUGGGGCAAGUAUUACUGGCGUUCAAUACGUAGCCAAUGUCGUUCUGCUGCAUCAGCUCCUAUUAAAGAAAGGAAGCCAAUGCCAGCUGUUACAAGUGUCACCACGUACAGAUCAAUAUAAGAAAGAGAAUGUUAAUUGAAAAUAUAUUUGAGGGGACCCAAAACUAUUCCUGGUUUUCACAAAUAUUUUUGGCAGUGUAAAACAAACAAACAAAUCCAUUUUCAAAUUUUUUUUCAUGCAAAUGUUCACCACACUAUGUUAUCAUCUCUUGGUGUCACUCUCAUUUUAUCAGUGGUAUCACUUAGCUAUAUUUGUCUGGCUAUGUAGCAUUGUGUUGUCAUACAGGUUAAAUGCAAGUUCUUCUUACGGAGAAAACUUUUCAGAAUUGUGAAAAUUUGCUGUUAAAAACAUAUUUUUAAAAAUCAGAGUUGGUUAAGUGAUAAUAUCACCAAUUAAGGGAAAUUAAUUCAGCUUGACAGCGAAAGAAGUCAAGGUAACUGAUUGGUGAGCAUCGCAUGAAAAUGCAUCGCCAGGGGGAGAUUGUCCUUUGAGUCACUUAUCAGUGCCAUAUUAUUUCCGGGCACCCACCUUGUUGAGGACAUCCCGCUGGCACCCAAGGUAAAGGUGAGGAAGAAUCCGUGUUGGCCCAGUGUUGGAGACUGGUAAGCAGGGUUGAGAAAUACAAGAAGGCACCAGAAUAGAUUUUCCUUCACAAAGGCCAGGGAAACAACUGGAAAAUUCAGCAAAUCCACCUGAAGGAAACAACAGCCCCAGUUUCAGUUUUAAGUGUAGGAUGGUAGUGUGAUGCAUAAUGAAGCCUAUUUUUUCUGUUUAAAUCACCAGAUUUAAAUCACCAGAGAAGACAUCAAGGUGAGUCAAACAUGUACAUUAAGUCACAUGGUGGCUGAAAUAUCAUUCAUGCAUAUGUGAAUGGGCCAUUACAGAACUUACCUAUUUCAUACAACAUGCUUGUCAAUUGAAUCAGUGCACACAUUCAGCACCAAUCGUCAAGGAUGUAAAAUAAGGGCAGUAGAUAUAUCAGCCGAUGUACCUGGCUUCCCCCUCCAACUAAACUUUGCUAUACAGUUUGGAACCGUGGUUAGAAGACUGUUUCCAAACUAGAAGUUGUAGCAAAUGCUAGUCCUACUCAGAGCAGACUCAUUGAUAUUAAUGGACAUGGCUAACUUAGGUUCAUUCAUUUUCAUGUUUCUACUCUUGAGUAUAACUUAGUUGGAUACAACCUUAUCGUUUGGGCUAACUAUGGUUAGCUGAAGACCCAACUACAGCUAUCAAGAAUAUCACGACUGUCUUCUUAUGUAACGUUUCUAAUCAUAUUAUGUCCUCCUUGCAUCUGCACACAUUGAAAACAAGCAAUUCUGUAACAGAGAGAGAGAGCACGCAAGAUUGCAAAGACACAGCCUCAUUUAUUAACCUUUCCCCCUUCUACCUAUCUUGAAGUGGCAUUUAUGGAUUUAGCUAAUUAAAGACAAUAAAAAGUU